CACCGCGGUUAAACGAGAAGCCCAAAUUGAUAGAUAGCGGCAUAAAGGGUGGUUAGGGAUUACAAAAACUAAAGCCGAACACUUUCAAAGCAGUUAUACGCCCCCGAAAGCAUGAAGAUCAACCACGAAAGUGGCUUUAUUUUACCUGAACCCACGAAAGCUAAGAAA
rnacentral:rRNA from 1 species